UACGUAGGGUGCAAGCGUUAAUCGGAAUUACUGGGCGUACAGCGUGCGCAGGCGGUGAUGCAAGACAGAUGUGAAAUCCCCGGGCUUAACCUGGGAACUGCAUUUGUGACUGCAUUGCUGGAGUGCGGCAGAGGGGGAUGGAAUUCCGCGUGUAGCAGUGAAAUGCGUAGAUAUGCGGAGGAACACCGAUGGCGAAGGCAAUCCCCUGGGCCUGCACUGACGCUCAUGCACGAAAGCGUGGGGAGCAAACAGG
rnacentral:rRNA from 1 species